GUUUGUAUUGAUUCGACUUUCAAACUUGUAUACCAAAAUUAUGACCGGAACUCUGCAUGGUAGCUCUGGUUUGACUCAGGUUCAAGUUUCUGAUCCUGUUUCAGAAUUUCUAUUGUGAAUCAAAAACAGCCUUAGUGACCAGGAAGAGAGGAUGAUUAUCAGCUAAUUAUGAACUUGUAUUUCUUCUUAGAAGGACAUUAUUGAAACAAGAAUGAUGAAUUUGCACUGAUCUGAGUAGAUUCUCUUACCCUUAUGAACGAAGUGAUGAUGAUGAUGAUGACAAUGAUGAUAAUGACGACAAUGAUGAUAAUGGCCAUAAAUUACAUGGCACUGAUUACAUCUGCUGCGGUGCUACUAUGCUAAACACUCUAUCUAUAUUAUCCUUGUCAAUUAUUUAAAAGACAACCUUAUUUUUUAUCAUUAUGUGGUAUUUAUUUAUUAUCAUCAUUUUUUGUUCUGCAGAUAAGGACAUGGAGGCUCAGUGAGGUAAAAUCAUAAUUCUAAGUCACAAACCUAAUAAGUGGUAAAGCCAAGAUUUGAACUGGGAUCUGUGCUACUCAAAGAUCUAUGUGAUACUGUGUAUGCUGUAUUGUCUAUCCUGAGAACAGCUCAUUUCUCACAUGGGUUUCACAAAGUAAAGUUAACUAUCCAACAAAGGAAAUAAAUCACUAAUUUUGUUUCUAUAAAUUCUUUUAUAGAGGCUAGAGGAAUUGAGCUCCUUUUGGAAAAGUGGGCAAAGUUUUGGGGACUACUUCUAUGGGCAACGACAGAGGAAAUUUUUGGUAGAAAACAGAAUUUAGUGGGGAUUCCACUGUAAGUACAUUGAACCAUAUUUUCUUUCUGGUGAGGAGACAGAAAUGGGAGGGAAAGAAAAGGUAAAAUGUCCUUUUUCUCACAAUUGCCCUUCCACUGUUCAAACUGCAUCUUGGCUGCUACUGCCAUAAAGAAAAGAAGCCUCAGAAAGAAGUCAAAGGAAAGAAAGCAAGCUUAUUUCUGAGCUUUUGAGAGUCUAGGCCUAGCAUGAAUAAAAGUAAUUUAAGGAAAAUUUUGAGGGUAAUUGACAAUUCUCUGUUACUGGAAGAAAGAUGUUCCUCUAUAGAAAAAAACUGGGCUGAGUCCCCUAACAAAGGGAAAAAUGCAGAACAUUUUCGGAUGGUGAACAGGUAUCUUGGUAGUUACUUGCAGAAGGAUUAAAGGAGGAUGGGGAAGGAAUUGGCACAUAAUUCUCUUGAAAAAGAAGAGGGAAUUAUUUACUGUAGGCUUCCUCUGUGUCAAUAACUGUGCUUGGAGCUGUAUAUAAAUAGGUGUUAUCAUAUUUUCUGUUUUGUGCUUUUUUUUUUAAGAUAAAGAAACCAAGGAUCAGAAAGGUUUUAGAGACUUGACUUGUCAAGGUCACAAGGUGGAGCCAAGAUCUCAAUUCAUGUCUGCUAGAUUUAAAAGCCCUACCCCUUGAUUCUCAAACUGUACUCUGAGGCACCCAUGGGUGUUGUUGCAAUUAACAGGGACACUGUGAGUUACAUUAAAUGUUUGAGGGAAACAAAGCAAUAAUUGACAUUAGACAGACACUGUGCAAAUGGCUAGCUUGAGGUAGCUCUCAGUUACAACAUUAGAUCACACAUUCUUUUUGAUGAAAAUCCUUGGCCGGGCGCGGUGGCUCACGCCUGUAAUCCCAGCACUUUGGGAGGCCAAGGUGGGUGGAUUAUGAUGUCAGGAGAUCGAGACCAUCCUGGCCAACAUGGUGAAACCCCGUCUCUACUAAAAAUGCAAAAAUUAGCUGGCUGUGCUGGCACGUGCCUGUAAUCCCAGCUACUCAGGAGGCUGAGGCAGGAGAAUCGCUUGAACCAGGGAGUCGGAAGUUGCAGUGAGCUGAGAUCGCACCACUGCACUCCAGCCUGGCAACAGAGCGAGACUCCGUCUCAAAAGAAAAAGGAAAAAAAAAAAGAAAAAGAAAAUCCUUGUGAAGCUGGGUUUUUGGUGGUUGCUGUGAUAAAAAACCAAGUGGCAUUUGAAAAUCAAUGAUAAACAGAAAUUAAAAUUGUGGUGUCUACUAUGAUUCCUAGCUGUGAGAAGAUAGGUGGUGUUUAACAGGUGCAUGUAUGCCAUUAAUAUUUUGGCUUUGAUUUCUUAAGAAUAAGGUAAAAAUAUUAUUUUCUCCUUCAACUUAUGUGCAUUGAUUUUUUCAAAUGACCACAAAGUAGGGCAUAAAUAUUUACUAAGCUGUUUGGAUAUAACAACUUAAAUGAAACUCCUAGGUAUUUAUUUUGGUCUAGGAUCACGAUAACACCACUGAGACGCUGUCGGCAUUUAUAUACCAAGAGUGUAUUGAACACAUAGGUGAUGAAGUGUGGAUAGGUAUCAAUUAAUUAUUAAUUCAAAAAAACUCAGAAAUUGUCCUUGAUUUCAAUGAAUAUCUAAUUGAAUGGAGAGACAGACAUGUUACCAGAGUCAUUAUACUGGACUAUAUCAAUCAUUCAUUUAUUCAACAAAUAUUUAUUUUGCUCCUACUCUAUCCUAGGCACUGUGCUAGACUCAGGCAAUACAAGGAUGGACAAGAAAGAAAGCAUCCCUGCCUUCAUGAAACUCACAGUCUGAAGUCAAUAAACAAACAGCUGUUGCCACUUUACAGAAAGAAAAGUGUGGCUCAGACCAUAAUUUCAGGAAGAAGCAUGCAAUUUUUGGUAAUUCAAUGAAAUAUAAAGAUGAAUCAGAAGUCCGGUAUAGAAUGCAUCAUCCAUUGGUUCUGGAUUUAACAUACGAAAUCCGUAAAAGAACUGAAAUGUUCUGAAGCUUGAAUCUCUCUCAUGCAGUUAUUCUGUUGGAUGAAGUGGCAUUUCAAAUUUGCUCACUCAGAUUUGGGACAUUAGUCUCAUUCUGAAGCACACCAAUGCUUCCAGAACUACCAGCAUGCUGUAAUGAAAGGUACCACCAUGAGACUUGAAGAAGUAUCUGACUUUGUCCCAAAAUCUAUCUGAAUAAGAACAACGGACAAACAAAAAGAUAAGGAGAAGAAAGAGGAAACAAAAGCUAAAAGGUUCACCUUAACUUUCCCGGCAUUUUCGUCAUCUUCUUUUUUGUCUUCAAAUUCAAAGGCAACAGUCAUGCGUUGUUGUCUCUGCUCUUCCCACAGUGUAGGGUUAAAGCUGUCACUGUCUGACUGGAAAUCUACAGUUAGAUUCCAAAGUAUUAUUGCUUUUUUAAAAAACAAUUUUACACAAAGUAUUUAAUACAGUAUGCAAAAAUGGUGAUAGAUACUACAAACAAAUACAGAAAUGAAGAAGAAAGAAAUAAAGAAAAAAAGAAAGAGAAAGAAGGAAAGAGAAAAGAAUAAAAUUCCCUUGAUAUUUA